rnacentral:rRNA from 1 species
GGCCUACGGGUGGCUGCAGUGGGGAAUAUUGCACAAUGGGCGCAAGCCUGAUGCAGCAACGCCGCGUGAGGGAUGACGGCCUUCGGGUUGUAAACCUCUUUUAGUAGGGAAGAAGCGAAAGUGACGGUACCUGCAGAAAAAGCACCGGCUAACUACGUGCCAGCAGCCGCGGUAAUACGUAGGGUGCAAGCGUUGUCCGGAAUUAUUGGGCGUAAAGAGCUCGUAGGCGGCUUGUCGCGUCUGCUGUGAAAUCCCGGUGCUCAACUCCGGGCCUGCAGUGGGUACGGGCAGGCUAGAGUGCGGUAGGGGAGAUUGGAAUUCCUGGUGUAGCGGUGGAAUGCGCAGAUAUCAGGAGGAACACCGAUGGCGAAGGCAGAUCUCUGGGCCGUAACUGACGCUGAGGAGCGAAAGCAUGGGGAGCGAACAGGAUUAGAUACCCGGGUAGUC